rnacentral:rRNA from 1 species
CAGUCGCCACGGGAAUACGGAGGGUGCAAGCGUUAAUCGGAAUUACUGGGCGUAAAGCGCACGCAGGCGGUUUGUUAAGUCAGAUGUGAAAUCCCCGGGCUCAACCUGGGAACUGCAUUUGAAACUGGCAAGCUAGAGUCUCGUAGAGGGGGGUAGAAUUCCAGGUGUAGCGGUGAAAUGCGUAGAGAUCUGGAGGAAUACCGGUGGCGAAGGCGGCCCCCUGGACGAAGACUGACGCUCAGGUGCGAAAGCGUGGGGAGCAAACAGGAUUAGAUACCCGAGUAGUCCCUGUCUCUUAUAC